UCCACCAUUUUUUUCCAUAGGUUGUCCACGUAGGCUAUAAUGAAUGAAAAUAACAUACCUUGGGGCCACUUAUGGAUGGCUAUGCCACUGUCGUAAGCCGGACCUUGGCUGUGGGUGAUUUUAGUGCCGCCGGAGGUAAGGCACGUGAGCAGAGAGCACCGCGCAUGGAUAACUUCGGAUCUGCCAUGAUCCGAGCCUC
rnacentral:lncRNA from 1 species